rnacentral:lncRNA from 1 species
GCUACUAUUAUAAUUUUUUAAAUUAUAACUAUUUAACAUCAAUUACAAACGCACCCUAACUUUACUUAUUCGCAAGUUCAAUGGGUAACGUUUUGAGGUUCAAACUCCCCAAAGUCAAUGAAAUAAAAAAGAAUGAGAAGAGAAAUUUUUAAAUAAUAAUUAACUGGGAGAAUCGAUUACACAUCUUUUGAUGUGGUUGUUUCAUGGCGAAGGAGGGCACAAGAGGAGAUAUGAGUAGGAUUUUAGGCGGGGCCUACUUGUGCCCCAAAUAUCAAGUGAAGCUCGUGCCAACCAUAAACUAUGAAGCACCACUCCCCAUAUAGUCAAAACUCACGCAAAAUUUUGAUUCAAUUAAAGCCUGCAAAUUCCAGCAGGAGCCGAGACCCGUCUGUAUCUGUAUCUGGGGUUGUUUAAUUGGUUCAAACUUCAAAGCAAAAGGUUAGAAUUUGUAAAAUAAAUCACGCUAAAUGAUUUGGUGUUAUUUAUUUUUUGACCAUUUGCAUUACGUGGGUUGUUUUCCGAGAUGCUCUGCCUUUGCUGCUUUGCUGCUUUGCUGACUCCUGAAGUAAGUAAGAUUGGCUCAACUGGAAAAAGGAUACAGAUAGGAUAAAUGUAAGGCGAUGUUUGUCUGGUUCCGGAAAAGUUUAAAAACUACAAAAGUGAAGGAACAUGCAACAAAUUGGACGCAUGGGGGGGCGGUGGGGGACUUGGGGGGGGGGACCUUUACCUUUCAAAAUCUCAAUUCAAGGAUUGCAACCAACCACUAGUGGCUUUGCCUUCGAAAGCGAAUUUUGUUUGAUGAAUCUGCUUUUGCCCUUAACGGCGCUAGUGUAGCUGCAGGCUAGGCACUAGCUAGGCAGCACAUGCAACCCCUUUGGCUCCAUUCCUGCAAUUCAAAACCUACUUGCCAUCUAGGCAUCUACUACAUUAUUAUGAGAAUUCAAUUGACUGCUUGAAUCCAAUCGUAACUUCAGAAAUGGUAGGCUAUGCUAUACAUCUCCUGCUUCCGAAACAAACAUAUAAACUUACUACUUUGUUGUUCGUGAAUUCCAUAUGGUGAUAUUAUUAUAUUAAUCAGCUUUAGACGGACAGAAUUCACUCACGGAACGGAAAGGAGAGACGCGCUUACAGCUAUAGCCCAUGUAGAUGUCUUAUAUAUAUAACCUGCAUUUAAUUUAAGAGCUGUGCUCAGUAAUUUUAAAUAUAAAUUCAAUUAAACAAUAUUUGGGUUAUUAAAAAUAACUCACAAGUUAGUGCAAGAUGGAUGCAAUGUAAUGUGGCAAUUGCAGAGUUACAGCCCAUUUAAUGACAUGGAAAAAGCAAAAACAAAUAAUUGUUACGUGAGGGUGUAAGCCGUAGAAACUGUGACUCAGUAAGAACAAGCAUGUAAUGUAAUGUGUAACUUAACGUGACCCUCCUUUUGUGGCUAUCCCGUGUUUUGUCAGUCUGUGAACUUCAGAUUUAAUCUUAGCCGUCCAUCUUCUGAGACCACCGACCACACGUUAUUGUACCAGAUUUUUCAGUGCUUUUAUGUUUGCUCUCACCUUUCACUGUUACUAAGGAUUCGCUGUUCUGAGUCUCUCGGUUCUCUGCAACUAUUGGUCGAUUCCAAAAUGCAUUUCUAUACUUGACCAACAAACUAACCAUGGUCUGUGGUAAAGCUUCACAAAAGCUAACUAUAGUAGUUUAAUGGGUGUUAGCACUUAGCAGUAUAUAUUUUAGUUUCGGGUUAAUUUGUUGACCAAGACUUCUUCAUCUCAUGACGCACAUUUGUCAUUUUUACUUAGAGAUAAACUCUUCUUUUUUUUUUUUAAUGUUUUUUUUUUUGGUCUUAUACAACUUCACAAAUUGAAAAUUUUACCUUCAAUAUUACACACUCUUUUAGACUUUGCCCAUAUCACUUUUGUUUGUAUCUCGCUUGUAUGUCGCGGAUCACAAAAUUUUUUAUGUUACUUUUUAGCUCACACAAAAAUCAAACAUAAAUUUGAAUUACAUGAGACUAAUACUCAGAUUAAAAUUCAUAUUAUAUGAGAUUUAUA